ACGCUCGACACCUACGGGAGGAGCAGUGGGGAAUAUUGCACAAUGGAGGAAACUCUGAUGCAGCGACGCCGCGUGAGCGAAGAAGUAUUUCGGUAUGUAAAGCUCUAUCAGCAGGGAAGAAAAAGGACGGUACCUGACUAAGAAGCUCCGGCUAAAUACGUGCCAGCAGCCGCGGUAAUCUGAGCGGGCUGGCAAGGC
rnacentral:rRNA from 1 species